GACGAACGCUGGCGGCGUGCCUAACACAUGCAAGUCGAGCGAACAGAGGUGGAAGCUUGCUUCUAUCAAUCUUAGUGGCACACGGGUGAAUAACGCGUAAUCAACCUGCCCUUCAGUGGGGUACAACCGUUGGAACCGACUGCUAAUACCGCAUACGAUCUAAUCUCAUCAUCCAGGAUUGAUGAAAGGUGUCGUCUACAUGUAAGCUAUCACUGACGGAGGGGUUUGCGCUUGGUUAGCUAGUUGGUUGGCUAAGGGCCUACAAAGGCAAGGCUCGGUGGCCGUCCUGGGGGAGUGACCGGCCAAAUUGGAACUGGGAAACGGCCAGACUCCUACGGGAGGCAGCAGUGGGGAAUCUUCCGCAAUGGACGGAAGGCUGAAGGAGCAAAGCCGCGUGAGUGAUGACGGCCUUCGGGUUGUAAAGCUCUGUUAAUCGGGACGAAAGGCAUUCUUGCGAAUAGUGAGAAGGAUUGACGGUACCGGAAUAGAAAGCCACGGCUAACUACGUG
rnacentral:rRNA from 1 species